rnacentral:rRNA from 1 species
AUGAACGCUAGCGACAGGCCUAACACAUGCAAGUCGAGGGCGAGCACAAGGAGCAAUCUGAGGUGGCGACCGGCGCACGGGUGAGUAACACGUAUGCAACCUGCCUGUAAGCGGGGAAUAACCCGUUGAAAGACGGACUAAUACCGCAUAAUACUAAAUUACUGCAUGGUAAUUUAUUUAAACAUUUAUGGCUUACAGAUGGGCAUGCGCAUGAUUAGCUAGUUGGAGAGGUAACGGCUCCCCAAGGCAACGAUCAUUAGGGGUUCUGAGAGGAAGGUCCCCCACACUGGUACUGAGACACGGACCAGACUCCUACGGGAGGCAGCAGUGAGGAAUAUUGGUCAAUGGACGAGAGUCUGAACCAGCCAAGUCGCGUGCAGGAAGAAUGUCCUAUGGAUUGUAAACUGCUUUUGCAGGGGAAUAAAGUGCAUCACGUGUGAUGUUUUGUAUGUACUCUGCGAAUAAGGAUCGGCUAACUCCGUGCCAGCAGCAGC